rnacentral:rRNA from 1 species
UACAUAGGGGGCGAGCGUUGUCCGGAAUGACUGGGCGUAAAGGGUGUGUAGGCGGCUUCGCAAGUUGGAAGUGUAAUACCUAGGGCUUAACUCAGGUGCUGCUUCCAAAACUGCGAGGCUUGAGUGUCGGAGAGGAAGAUGGAAUUCCUAGUGUAGCGGUGGAAUGCGUAGAUAUUAGGAGGAACACCAGAGGCGAAAGCGAUCUUCUGGACGAUAACUGACGCUGAGGCACGAAAGCGUGGGGAGCAAACAGGAUUAGAUAC